rnacentral:sRNA from 1 species
UCUGCGGGCAGCGAACUGUGUCUACAGCAACCUGUGGAGCGGAAACUGUGAUCUGCCCUAGCGCUCUCUUCCAGAAGAUGCCCUCCAAUCCUUUCCACCCUAUUCCCUAACUCUCGGGACCUCGUUUGGGAGUGUUCUGUGGGCUUGGCCUUGUGUCAGAGCUGGGAGUAGCAUGGACUCUGGGUUUCAUAUCCAGCUGAGUGAGAGGGUUUGAGUCAGAAGCCUGGGUGAGAAUCCUGCCUCUCCCCAAACAUUAAUCACCAAAGUAUUAAUGUACAGAGUGGCCCCUCACCUGGGCCUUUCCUGUGCCAACCUGAUGCCCCUUCCCCAAGAAGGUCUGCAAAUGAAGAGUCCAGAAAAGAAGCGAAGGAAGUCAAAUACUCAGGGCCCUGCAUACUCACAUCUGACGGAGUUUGCACCACCCCCAACUCCCAUGGUGGAUCACCUGGUUGCAUCCAACCCUUUUGAAGAUGACUUCGGAGCCCCCAAAGUGGGGGUUGCAGCCCCUCCAUUCCUUGGCAGUCCUGUGCCCUUCGGAGGCUUCCGCGUGCAGGGGGGCAUGGCGGGCCAGGUACCCCCAGGCUACAGCACUGG